UUCUGUAACUGUUUAUGACGUCGACCUUUUAAAUGCGUUCUCCAAUGUUCAUACCAUGCCAUCGCAGCUGGUACUCAGAGCUGCUCUGAAAGAUUACGGUUAGCACUUCGAUCAAGAGACAGGUGUCGUUAGCGAUGUGGAACUACAACUAUGACCACUGUGACAACGCUGAUUAACCUUUUAAGAGAACUUCCGGGAGAAGUUUGGCGGUUUCUAGUAAAAUGGAUGCGCUGAAUCGCUCGAUGGGUAUACAUUAUACCUGUGACAUAAUCACUAAUAGCGGCAGAUUUCUAGAUGCUUUAAGAAACAAACAGAAUCGGCGUCAGAGCUCAAAUUGAGUUGACCACAUUAAGUUCCAAACGAUGUAAUUCGGCGAUGGUAAUUCAUUCAGGUUGCUAGGACCUCCUAUGCUAAGGUUCUCGCUCCUAACCUACCUAACGAGCGUCUGACCGUUUCUCUACGCCUUAAACUGGAUGUCCUUGUAAUACCCCACGUACACACGAUGCCAGGCUCCUCUUGGGCACAAAAGUUAAGCGGCUCCACCGUACUGUUUGGGGUCGCUUUGGUGUGCUUCGUCGUCGGCUGGAUCAUGAAGUUGCAAGUGCUCGUCACAAUUGCUUACGCGCUUUUUAUCGUCGUGGCACUGAUGGGCUUGUACGCUUUAUGCUUCACGACCAAGCUUUCAAAAGGUUCAGUAAUACCAAAUGGUCCUACGCAUACAACAACCAUUCACGUGAAUCCGCAGGCGGAUGUCGGUGAAAUGUAUCUGCCGCAGACGAACGUCGUCCUGUCGCCGGAUUACACGCAGUCGGCCACUCCGGGAUUUCAUCCCAUACUUAUAAACGAUCAGCCCCCAUCAUACAACACUGUAAUAAAGUCGUCCUAGGCAGGGAUUCAUUCCUGACGCUAACAAAUUGUCCUUAUGGUGCAACCUAUCUUUUAGAAUUCGGAGGUACCCGUUGUUUCCUCAAGUUGUUGCUUUUGUAUCUCGAGCUGUAGAACGAGAUGUCUCUACAGCAACAGGUAAGGGAUACAUGGCUUCCACAUGUUGCAUUUGGUAGCUAAACACCUCUGUGGGAAUGGUCUGCGUGUUGUAAGAGCUUUCAGAGUGGCGGACAACUCUCAGUAAAACUACUAUAGGAUCAUUGUAAAACUGGCCUUUUUCAUGCGACCUGAAUGAAUAAUGCACACAAUAAACGUUAACGCUAAUCGUCAAAAAUCACUGAACCCAUUUUUGGUCUGAAUCAUUUUUAUCGUUUACUGGCUUUUUCUUGAGAGGCGAUAUUCUCACCUCACAAUAAGUGCGUGGACCCUUUAUGCUAUUAUGUUACGGUUACGCGUGAGCGUAUUUUUGCUUUAUAUAUGCAUUGUUAAUACAAAAGGUUGUCAGGACAAUUGGUAAAGUAAAAAAGCGUGGUUUCAAGUUCACAGUUGGGCGUUCCGCCGAACCUUAUGUCAGCUUUGAUACGAUCUGCAGCAAUUUUAGUCUCAAUGUAGCAUGACUCUUUGCUUAUGUUAUAAUCCCACUUUUCGACCAGGCCACUUUUGAUAUAUUGUGGUAUAAAUGAAUCAAUGGCUUUGAAGUGCGCACCCAGCGACGGGUGGUCGGAGAGGUCACAUAGUCACAACAAAGUUGAGAGAUGCAUAUACGUAUGGAAUCUCGUUUUCUUUAGACAUUUUAUAUCUCAGACUAACAUUUGCGGGCGUACGAUUUCGUUGAGGUUACUGUUGUUUAUAGACAAGGAAAGACAGCGCCCCAAAAACUUAGAGCGCAUCUACCUCAAAGUUCAAGCCUUUUGAUUACCAAACGUUUGUAAUAGAACUCCGGAAUGAGUGCUAUAAACAACCGUCUAAUAUGAGUUUACGUCAAAAAGUUGUCAAAACCUGUAUUCUCACCAUUAGACCUUUUAUAACCUCCAAUUGUGAUAAACGAUGUUUCGUUAAUGAAUAAAACUAUAGAAUGAUGUUGAGUCUAAAACGGUUCAUCUUGUUAUAAGUUAGUUAUCAAAAGCAAAAACAUAGAAAUAGCUGACUAGGAAACAUACCGCGCGAUUUUCAAACUGGAUGAGAUAUUGAUAUCUCAGAGAUAUGAUGUUAAUUAAUAAGACGCUUUGAUUAAAGACAUAUGUGAUGCUCACUACCCUUUCACUUAGCAAUAAAACGUGUGAUGCGGUAGAGUUAGUUUCCGAAUAGGACCUACGUAAGUACGGAAUAAAUCUAAAUUCGAAACUCAGUUAGAAAUGUAAAAAGGAACAUUAAGACCCAGCAGCGAAUUGAAGCCGAGACUUACGAUUGGGAAUCCGGCGACCCACCAAACCCGCCAUCAGAGUAGCUAAUUUUGUGUUAAAAUGGUACUACACAUUCAGUUGAUUAAAUCAAUACCUAUCGUCACAAAAAGCUCAGAAACAAUUCGAACUGAUACUCGUAAUUUUCAUUUCUCCUCUUUA